rnacentral:rRNA from 1 species
CCUACGGGAGGCAGCAGUGAGGAAUAGUGGUCAAUGGGCUGACGCCUGAACCAGCCAAGUCGCGUGAGGGAAGACUGCCCUAUGGGUUGUAAACCUCUGUUGUCAGGGAGAAAGAGGCGCUACGUGGAGCGUUAUCGAGAGGACCUGAAGAAAAAGCAGCGGCUAACUCCGUGCCAGCAGCCGCGGGAAUACGGAGGAUGCGAGCGUGAUCCGGAUUGCUUGGGGUUAAAGGGUGCGUAGGCGGAAUGCCAAGUCAGCGGUAAAAUCGCGGGGCUCAACCUCGCUCCGCCGUUGAAACUGGCGUUCUUGAGUGGGCGAGAAGUAUGCGGACUGCGUGGUGUAGCGG